rnacentral:rRNA from 1 species
UACAGAGGGGGCAAGCGUUGUUCGGAUUUACUGGGUGUAAAGGGUGCGUAGGUGGCGUAGUAAGUGGGAUGUGAAAUCUUAAGGCUCAACCUUAAAACUGCAUUUCAUACUACUAAGCUAGAGUAUCACAGAGGCAAAUGGAAUUCUCGGUGUAAGAGUGAAAUCUGUAGAUAUCGAGAAGAACACCAGUGGCGAAGGCGAUUUGCUGGGUGUAUACUGACACUGAAGCACGAAAGCUAGGGGAGCGAACGGGAUUAGAUACCCCGGUAGUCCUAGCCGUAAACGAUGGACACUAGGUGCUGGGAGGGUCAAACCUCUCAGUGCCGCAGCUAACGCAUUAAGUGUCCCACCUGGGGAGUACGGUCGCAAGGCUGAA